rnacentral:lncRNA from 1 species
AAAGACAUCGUGAAAACUUGCUGAAACAGAUGAAGGAAAUACUGUUUUUGCCGGAAAAUUAAUGUAGUUGCCGGAAAAAAUCAAUGUAGAUGCCUGAAAAAAUUCAAAUUGGUCGGAAUUGAAAAGUAAAAAUCUGGGUAGUCUCGGAAACACCAGGCGAACAGGCUGUCUGAAGAAAAAAUUUUGAAAAUCUGGCUGGAAGGGACCUCACACGCCGGCGCGUGAGUGGGUGUUUUUAGGUGACGUUUUCUGGGAUUUGGUCGGAAUUCUCUCGCGGACCUUAUGGUGGUGUUGGAUUUUGCACAAAACUGAUAAAUAAUGACUUUGAUGUAAAAAGUCAGGACCUCACGCACCGGCGAUGGGGCAGACGCGCCGGCGGCGGCAGAACUCCGACAGGCGCGUGGGUGGGUGUUUUCAGGUGACGUUUUCUGGGGUUUGGUCAGAAAUGGUGGUGUUGGAUUUUGAGCAAAACUAAUAAAUAAUGACUUUGAUGUAAAAAGUCACUUAGGUUACCGGAAAAUUGCACGGUGACGACUGAUUUCUUCCCGGAUGUUGUUGGAAUGAAGCAAAACGAUAAUUAUCUCACCAAUGGCUCUGAUACCAUGUGAGAAAGCACGGGAGAAAAAUA